AUAAUUAAAAAACAAUAAUCCGAAACCAAAUAAUUAAGUUUAUCUUUUUAAUUGACCAUCGGCUACUUGGCAUGUUACGUUUUUAGUAUUGUUCAACCUUACUCUAAAUAUGCAUGUUUUUGAGCACAAUUCCAUUAGUACAUGUACUAAUUGAAUUGUGCUCAAAAAAAUUAAAAAGAUAAAUUUAAUUAUUCGGUUUUGGUUACAUGUUUUUUAUAUUUUUAAGGUGAUUAAAUUUACUCAUGUAUGUUAUUUAAUUUAAGAUAUCAUAGUAUUUUAUAAUAUAAGCCGUUCUCGCACAAAAUAUACAAAUAAAGGAGAAAAGAGAAAGAUAUAGAUCAAUCCUAGAAGGCUAUUGUUUCUUCUCAAGUAUCCUAUCAACCAGUUACCUAUAAACCAGCUUCUCAGUAUUGGAAAUGUUCUUACCCAGUGGGCACCGGACCAAAAAGAGAUGUCUUUUGAACGUUCAAAAGACGUCCAAAACGUUCAAAAGACGUCUAAAACGUAAAUAAGACGUUUAAAAGACGUCUUUUUUUUGUCCGUGCCCACUGGGUAGAUACAUGCAGUUUAUCAAAUCUCUAAGGUCUUUGAAAUUUAAAUCUAAUAAGCCAAUUGAAGCUUGCUUUCAAACGUAUCCAGGCAAAGAUCUUAUCUGCAAGGGUGGAUUAUGUAGAAAUCCCAACCACAGAUGUGUUACUUCUCUUGUAAUGGAUGUGUGGAACAAAGCUGGUUUCGGAGAGUUUAUUCUUUCUGGAGCUGCUGUCAGGGAUAAGAUUUUGAAACUCCAUACUAAGUAUUGCAAGCUGAUCCAUUUGAGAGAACUAUACUGGGAUUCCAGAACUGAUAGAUUUACUUUGAUCCAGAGAGAGUUCAUUCAGAGAGCACCAAACUCUAUUUGUAGCGAGUUUUGAGGAAAAAACCCAGUCAGUCGCCUUCGUAUCCAGGAUGCCAAGGUGGAAGACAUUCAGUUUUUUUUAGACCAGAAAGAGGAUUGAAAAAUUUAUAUAGCUACAGAAAUAGACAAAGAGUUUGAAGCAUAUAUUAAAAAUAGAUAGGAUUGCUGGCAAAGCAUGAAGAAUAUGAAGAUUACAACAUCGGAAAAAGAUAAAAAGAAAAUGGUUUUUAAUGAGGUUUCAUAUGAUUCUGAUAUCAACUCAUCUGCAUCCAAGCCAGAUGCUGCAGUUUUCGCAGAUGAACAUAACGCCGAUGAAUUAUUUCAAAACUUUGGUUCUACAAUAAAAGUCAAGACAUGAGGAUCUAGAGGAUUGUACUUCUGUGGUAUCUGCUCGGUAUAGGAUUGGAAUCCGACCUUAAACCGCGAUCAUUGCAGCAAUCUCCAAUCAGGUAAAAAUAACUAAUUGAAUUAAAUAAUAGGAUAAAUAAAAACUUAAUUAAAUUGGUAAUAAAGCUUGAAUAUUAGGAGAUCAGAUAUCGCAGAUAUAAUAAAAACAUUGAAGGGGAAAAGACUUGUCCUGCACUUCGACAGCAAAAAAAUUAAAGAGAUGUAGGAUAAUCUAAAUAUUAAUGUUAGUGUUGAAAAGAUUUCUGUUAGUGUUACAUCACCAGAUAUUGACGACACAAAUAAUAUUAUCCUUGGAGUAGUUCAAACUCAAAGUUCCUAGGGAGUUAAUCAGGCAGAUUUAAUCUUAAAUCUACUAGAGUAUUACAACAUUGUUGAUCAGAUCUUUGCCAUAUGCUGUGACAGCUUUAAACACUGAAGUAUUUGCUGGAGCCAUUACCAUCCUUACAAAUAUCCUCAACAUUCCGUUUCUCUGGUUUCUCUGCAGACGACAGAUGUUUGUGAUAAAUAUUUCACAUUUCAUGGAGGCUCUUACUGGUGAAAAAACAAAGGGGCCCAGGAGAGCAAUAUUUAAGACUUCAGAAAGCCUGGCCAAGCAUCAAUGAGGAGGUAGAUAAGAUGGAGGAGGUAAUUAGGUUUGAUUGGAAUGAAUUGGAAUUGGAUCAACAAACAAGGGAUGCCUUAGAGUUUUGCAAAAAGGCACUGACCACAAAGAUAUUUAAAAGAGGCGAAUACAAGAAGCUCUGCAAACUUGUUGUAUUCUAUUUCGAAGGAAAUGUACCGGGGUUUCGUUUUCAUCACCCUGGAGCCUGCCACAAAGCCAAGUAUGAUUAAAGUUUAUGUUUAAAGGUAUGAUUAUAAAUAAUUUGUAUUAUUAGAAGAGAGUACAUUUUCAAAAAUUUUCCAUAAAACUAAUAAUAAUAAUAAUUUAUUCUAAAGGCUCAUGGCAGAUGCUAUGUGCUAUAGAUAUUAAUGUGCUAUAGACCCUGUUCUUAAAACCAUAUAUGUUUGACAUGUCACCUUCAAAUGACCUAGCUGCCUUCAAUUCAUCGUUUGAAAUAAGGCAGGCUCUUCUUGUCAGCAUGCUUCGGUACGCUUGGUACUUAAUAGAACAGUUAGUUAUACUGGUCCUAGCUGACGAUGAUGUUGACGAGAAGAUAAAAAAAAAGAUGUUGAAAAAGUUGGUCAAGUAUGAUAUACCCAAGCAGUUUCUAUGGGAAACCAAAGCUACCAGUUAUCAAAAGGUCAACUGAGCUAUUUGAGCUGGUAGGUUCCCAGAGUUGGAUCUUGUUUAUAGUAGCAAGUAUUCCAUUUGGAGAGGCGGAGAAGUGGCUCAAGGAAGAUGCCAGUGAAACUUUUGAUCUAUCUAAAAGGUUUUUGAAAUCGAUUGAAUUUGUUAAUGACAGCGCUAAAAGAAAUAUCCGACUAAUGCAGGAUUUUGUUAGAGGCUACAGUUCGGAUGACAUAAAACAAAACCUCAUGCUCGUUGCCAGAGACAACAGAAAAAAACUAAAUAAAGAACUAACAAAGAAACAACUCAUAAACGUUUAAUUUUUAAAGUUAAAAUAUAUAUUUUUA